rnacentral:rRNA from 1 species
CUAAGUUUGAUGGCGACCGGCGCACGGGUGAGUAACACGUAUCCAACCUGCCCUUUACUCGGGGAUAGCCCUUCGAAAGAAAGAUUAAUACCCGAUAGCAUAAUGAUUCCGCAUGGUUUCAUUAUUAAAGGAUUCCGGUAAAGGAUGGGGAUGCGUUCCAUUAGGUUGUUGGUGGGGUAACGGCCCACCAAGCCUUCGAUGGAUAGGGGUUCUGAGAGGAAGGUCCCCCACAUUGGAACUGAGACACGGUCCAA